GUGACCCGUGACAAAAAAACAAAUAGCUGAGGAGGUAGCUCAGCGCUUGCAGGACUCAAUCCGCAGCGCAAGGUUGCGCGGGGGUGUGGGGGAGUUGAUCGACAAUAAAAAGGACAAGCAUAAGCAGGGGGAAUCGGUAGCAGUAAACGUGCUUCGGAUUUGGAAGAUGAAAAAGCUCCGGGGCGCCACUGCACAAUAGUGUGAAUACACUUCGUUGUGAACUGCACAGAAGGUUUAAAAAUUAUCACAUUGGCUGCGCAUGGGGAUGCGCGCGCACGACACACCCGCCCCAAUUAACAGAGGGGACACACGCACGCGCGCACACCAGGUUCGUCCGCGCGGGUCUUGCCAGCCGGGGACUUUCUCGCGUCUGGCCAGCCAGGUCGCCUGUAUAUUUUUUGUUUGUUUUUGCCGUUGGUUCAUCAAAAUUUACAAAAUAUUUCCGACUAUUUGACGGAAGGACAUAUUUUCAAGACCUGUCUUUUACUUUGGUUUAUUCUUUUCUGGAUGAACGGUAAAGAAAAUAUUCCGCGUAGAGUCAGGCACACGAGAAGACGACCGUGCCCGUCAAGCCCCCGCCCGGGGCCUCUAUAUAUAGCGUGGGUCGGGCGCGGGUCUCUCUUUUGUGCGUUGGGCUCCGCCCGGGCGGCGUGUGUACUAUGCCGUCCUCCCGGGGCCGCCGUGGGAGCGCGCUGCGGAGCGGGGGUCGCCGCAGCCUGCGUGCAGAUUCCCGAUCCUUGCAGGCGGGCGGGUCUGCAGCGCGAGAUGGUUCCUGAGGGGUCUUAAGACGUCCGCCGGUUUGUCAUCCUUAAAUAAAGCGCCAGAGCUCUGGAACCUUCCACACUGAUCUGAUGGCCGAAAACCUAAGAUUCGGGAUCUACCCCUUCCCAGGCUGGUGGGGUCCCUAAGAUGCGUAGGUAGCGGUCCUGGUUGCUGCUGUCUCAUCACGGUGGCGGGCUGUGACCCGUGGAGACUCAGCCCUCUCUCUGUUGCUGCGGAUUUUGCUGGCAAAGGAUGUCUCCUGUCUGAUGCUGGGCAGAUCCUAGGAGCUGACAUCGUUCCUGUAUUAACCUAUAUGAACAGUUGUCAACUUACUGGGCAAAAAUAUGGCUGGAAAUUUGUUUAUUUUUUAUUUAUUUAUUUAUUUAUUUUCCAGUGCUGGUAAUCGAACUCAUGACCUCGUGAUUGCCAGG